GCACCAUCCAGAGAAUCGCUGUCGCAGCUCACGCACUGAAAGCCUAUGUGCUUUCUCACCUUUUGCUGUGGGGAAAGUCCCCGGAGACCGCGCAGAGCCGCUCGUCAAAGGCCGGAGUCCAGCUCGUCACACUUGGAGGAAAGCGCCUAUCCCGAGGCACGAUAGGAAGUGUGAUCUCUGUGCCCGAGAUGGGUGCAUAGGCGUCACUUGUUAUAUCACUUGCGAAGCGGUGCAUGUGACUCGAAAGACGUGCUCUGCCCCCCGCGCAUGCUGGGUAUCCCGGCAGUCUCUCUUUCACUCCGUAAAGUCCGAACAUGGCAUUAUGCGCAGGCGAAGAUAGGAGCCGUGUGGAGCCGUGUGGGAUGGGGUGGGAUAGAGCUGUCUGGAGAGUAGUUGCCGGAACCAUGUUGCUCAUAGCCGAUAGUUAUGCGAUUGCGUCUAUGCUGGCCUCGGCCAGUACGGUCGUAACUCAAUGGGGCUCAUUCCUGAAUGGUG
rnacentral:RNase_MRP_RNA from 2 species